AACGCACAUUGCGCCCUUUGGCAUUCCGAAGGGCAUGCCUGUUCGAGCGUCAUGAUCAACCUCAAGCCUAGCUUGGUAUUGGGCUUUCGUCUUUUACCCGUCUUGUCGGGUAGAAGACGUGCCUGAAAGUCAAUGGCGGUGUCUCAAUAGACUCAAGCGUAGCAGACUAACUCUCGCUUUGGAGAACUUUUGUAGGUGCCGCCAAACAAAACAAAUCAACAUUGGACCUCGGAUCAGGUAGGGAUACCCGCUGAACUUAA
rnacentral:misc_RNA from 1 species